ACUCGGUUUGACAACCAGAUCAUAGUUCUGCACAUCUGUUAGCAAUUUAAAAGUAAGAAUAUAAUACCACAGAAUUUUUGUAGUAUAUUUGGCAUUAAUAACCACAUCAUAAGGAAGUCAAUAAAUACAGCUAACUGAAUUGGUCGGCAGAACGUAUGGAGACAUAAAUAUUGAGGUGUCCUAUUUGAAAGGGCGGUACCAGGACACUCGUGAGACGAGCUGCUAUCCGACACCUGUCGCUUUGUUUUGUUUGCAAGACUCAAGAACAAGGGAGCUGGGAGGGCAAGUAUACGUCACUAGUUUUUGGUUUCAGUUAUCAUUGAACUGCGAGAAAGACAAGGAAAGAGCAAAAAGAGAGGCAAAGAGAUACAGAGCAAGGAGUGAUGAGGCCAAUAAUUUGCUGAUCCUUGAAAUUGAAGCGAUGAGACCGCCUCUAACAAUACUGCAGCACUAGAGAGAUUUGGACACACACCUACACAACACCCACACACACAUAUAUGUUCACAUGCAAAAUGUUUCAAAAUGAUGAACUGCUGAGGAUACGACAUUAAAAUCAGCUUUUAAAAGGAUUUCUGACAAAGCACAAUAAAGAGGAAGGAUCAACUUUGGACUGAGAGAUACGCUGUUAAAUGACUAUGAAGACCGGGAAGAAAUCAUUCAUAGGAUCCAGUUGAAAAGACAAAACCUCUCAGAGGGCGAGGCUCGAUUCAGCGCACCUCCUCACCAUCUCUCGCUGACAGCAGACUGAGGUGUUUGGUUAAGGAUUUUCUGCCCAAGUUGUCAAACUGACGUCAUUAGAGAAGAAACACCAUUCCAGAGGGGAAGCACAUUUUUAGAUUUGGACUAAAGAUUAUGAAAACAAACACUUUUUUAAAACUUGCACAGAUUAAUUGUUCAACACAAGACUAGUAACAGAAUGCUAAUAAAGUACAUUUUGAUUUCAUGUGGUGGCAGAAGUCAUUGGAUAUGUAUAAACUUUUCAUGCCAGGUUACACUGUAAAAAGUAAUGUGUUCUAUCUACUCAAUAAAAUUGUGGCAACAGAUUACAAGCAAUAUUAUUCAUUAAAUUCAACAUAUAAGAACUGAGUUAGAAUUAAUCAAAUUAAAACCUUAAAAGUCAGACAUUUAAUAUGUGUAAAAUUAGCAAACACUAUACAAAAACCACAAACUGACAUAAAAAGCAGAGUCAAACUGAACAACUAAACGAAACACCGAUCACAAUAAUGGUGACCAAACAUUUUCCAUAAAAUCAACAUCAACAUCUAAACCUCUGUUAAUUCAUGUGUUUCUCUUUCCUUCAGAGAUUCUGCUUGUUAUCAUCAGGUGUCUUCAAUGUUGGCAAUAAAAAAUAAAGAGUUCUUAAUUCAUCUUUGACGUCUGCCUGUUAUUCAGAUAUUUUUGUUUAAAUUUUACUUGUUUUAAAUGGUUGACAUUUAAGGAAUUAAUUUGAUUAAUUCUAACUCAAUUCUAUUUGUUGAAUUCAAUUAAUAAUAUUGCUUGUAAUCUAUUGCCAAAAUUUUAUGGAGUAGAUAUAGCGUAUUACUUUUUACAGUUUUUCAAAUGUGACAUUUGCGCCGCCUUUAUAAAAAGGGUAAAUAUUUGUAUAAUAUUCUGUAUAUUGUAUGAGUUCCUUCUUUUGCCACACAUUUUGUAAACAUUUUAAGUGCUUUAUUUUGCAAAAAGGAAGCUAAUUUUACAGAUAAAAUCAUUAUCAUGGCACAUAUUGUGUUUAGUAGAUCAGCUUUGCCAGUCCAUCCAUUUAUUCAUCCAUCACAACAGACAUAAUCCACUUUAGUCUGAUUUAGUUGUCUAGGCUUUGAUCUCUUUGGCUCUGUGUUUGUUUCAUCUGUCACCUGAGUGAGCAGGAUGCUCUGUUUCACUUUUACAAUUAACCUGCUUUAUAUACUAAAUACACAUACAUGGCCUAAUUGUGCAUGAUUUAUCAGUGCACAUUAUUCAAAGGGGAAAAAACCUUACCUGUAUCUCACCUCAAUAGCAGCAAAAGUGUUUUGCAAUACAAUAUGAACACAAUAAGUACAUUGUACCACCUAAUAUAAAGUGUGACUGUUAACUUCAAUUCUUAUCACUCAAACAGAGGAACAACAAUGGUUAUCUCCCCCACAUCAAUCUUUGAGAAGUGAUCUUUUAGGGGAAAUACUGUAGCGUAAAAACCCCAAACAGAGGCAUUGUGAUGUCAUGAACACUCAAAUUUUGCUAAGAUUUCAGCAAACUUUCUGUGGGAAUUCUGUAAAUGAUCAUGGCAGAGACUCAAUCAGUGUGAAUAGUUAACAAAGAAGACAAUAUAAAGAUAUUAUUAAAUGAUAUUUGGCGAAAAACAACUGUUUAAUCGAUAUAAAUAAAUAUGUAAUUAUAUUUCUAUUUAUAAGUAACUAUUUCAGGCCAUUUUCAGUAGAUUUCCUGUAACACUUUACAGAAAGGUUCAGUUCGUUAUGUAAAGCAUUAGUUCAUGGAUAAGAUAUCAUGAACACACUUAUACUGUACAUUCAUUAAUUUAGGCUAAUGUUAAAUUAAAUAUUUAACAACAUUAUUAAUUUAUAAUUUAAUGAUUAUUUAUUUAUUAAUUAAUUAUUUAAUGAUUUUACAAUUAAUAAUUUCUUUCAUUUAAAUUUAUUUAAUUUAAAAUUGAUAUUAAAUUAACUAAUUUCUAGUACUAAUUGACUGCCAUAGUAUUUUUUUCCAACUAUGGUAGUCAAUGGGGGGCGAGAUCUGCUUGGUUAUAAACAUUCUUCCAAAUAUCUUCUUCUGUGUUCAGCAAAACAAAGAAAUGUAUACAGGUUUGGAACAACUUAAGGGUGAGUAAAUGAUGACAGAAUUUUCAGUUUUGGGUGAACUAUCCCUUUAACAGUUGCAAAGGCCUCAAAGCCCAUUACACAGCUCCUGCUGAGCAAGUAGGGGGAGUCACGAAUCAAUUAGUCAAGAAAACAAAGAAUUGAGAUAUCAAACAUCAAGACCAUGUGUCUGACUAGGCAAACAGCAGCUAGAGAGAAAUCGAUGUAUUUUACAUGAGUGUGUGGGCAUGAGGUUGGCGCAAGCCAGAAAGUCAACCGGCCCUGAGCAGUGAGAGGAGGUGCAGAAGUCAAGCAUAAACUCCCUCUUCUCUUCAGAUGAUUCACUUCCUGCCCACCAGAGUGUGGCAGACGGUAUCUGACCAAAUGACACUCAGCCUGUUAUGCAAAUGCACACUCUCAGUUGAGCAAAAGAGACCUGCGUCUCCACGGUAACGUGGCAAGUAUAGUAACAGGAAAUAAAUAGUAAUAAUUGGAUCUCUGACAACUAUGACAGAAUGACUCAUUCAAAGGACCCUCGGUGAGCAGCGGAAAGACUUUGCCACCUGUGCGCUUGGCGUAUGAGAUACUGUUACAGUAACACGAUUAUGUGGAAAUAUGGGCAGGUUAGUGAGGGAAGGAAGAGACAGGACUAACAGAGAAAAGGUUAUCAAGCUGAACCACCAGAUAUAGACACCUGAUCUAGGUAAAGACUGGAUAAUAUUGUUGUUUCUCUGUUCUAUAGUGUCAGCAUAAACAAACAAACAAGCAAGCAAAUAAAUAAUACAAACAACAUCUUAAAAUGGAAAUUUCUCUUUUAAAAUCCUACAUCUGUUUAAUAUUCAUCAGUUAUGAGCUGAAAUGCACAGGAACCUGAUAAGCACUAUCCAGUAUUCCAAUGAACUAAGUGACCUUCCUCCGAAGAAUUUCCCCAUCGUUUUUGUCAUUUGAAACCUACAGCAGCUGAAUUUCCCUCUAUGGUCCUCCUAACUGCUAUCUGAAAGACAGGAUGUUUGGUUGGAUACAAAGCAUGUAAUGCUUAAGUCAGGUAAUGUCAUGCGAUGUCACCUGAUCCUGCUCGUGUAAACAGAACUUGGCAAGGCUCCUUCUCCACAGGCCACUUCAAAGAACUCAUCCUCUUUGUUUAAAAUGAAAGCAUAACAACGGCAUUAUGUGUAGACCGGAUUUACAGAUAGAACAGGUUAUACAUUCCAGAAGAAGUCCCAAUUGAUUCUAUGGAAGUGAAAAUGCAAAUCAUAUGCACCAAGCUUAUUAUUGUUUACUAAAACUAGGGCCACGUUUACACUAGUGCGUUUUCGUUUUAAAAUGCAUAACUUUUGCUACAGUUAUGCCUGGCGUUUACACUAUGGCGUUUUCGACCCUCAAAAACUGAGACUUACUGCAGAGCCCGUUUUAGUUUGAAAAUUCCGGGGUUGCGUUUCAGCGUAAACGUAC